rnacentral:rRNA from 1 species
UGAGGAAUCUUGCGCAAUGGGGGAAACCCUGACGCAGCAACGCCGCGUGAGUGAGGAAGGCUUUCGGGUCGUAAAGCUCUGUCAGAUGGGAAGAAAUGGAUGGAAGCCAAUACCUUUCAUUCUUGACGGUACCUCAGGAAUAAGCGUCGGCUAACUACGUGCCAGCAGCCGCGGUAAUACGUAGGACGCGAGCGUUAUCCGGAUUCACUGGGCGUAAAGCGCCUGCAGGCGGUUUCGUAAGUUGGGUGUGAAAGCCCCAGGCUUAACCUGGGGAGGCCAUUCAAUACUGCGGAGCUUGAGGACGGGAGAGGGAAGCGGAAUUCCCGGUGUAGCGGUAAAAUGCGCAGAUAUCGGGAGGAACACCAGUGGCGAAGGCGGCUUCCUGGCCCGUUCCUGACGCUCGGAGGCGAAAGCUAGGGGAGCAAACAG